AUGGACUGAAAAUUACCCCAGUUGUGUCUGUCUUCUGGAGUAAGAUAACUGUGCCAACAGCAGCUUGGUACAUUUUUGCUUAUUGUCAGUUCAUGCUGUAACUGCCCAAUGAAACCCAUGUGCCUACACCC